GGGUGAGUAACGCGUGAGAAACCUGCCCUUAAGUGGGGAAUAACACCGAGAAAUCGGUGCUAAUACCGCAUAAUAUCUCUGGAUCGCAUGUUCCUGGAGAUCAAAGGAUUUAUUCGCUUAAGGAUGGUCUCGCGUCCGAUUAGUUAGUUGGUGAGGUAACGGCCCACCAAGACCGCGAUCGGUAGCCGAACUGAGAGGUUGAUCGGCCACAUUGGGACUGAGACACGGCCCAGACUCCUACGGGAGGCAGCAGUGGGGAAUAUUGGGCAAUGGGGGAAACCCUGACCCAGCAAUGCCGCGUGAAGGAUGAAGGUCUUCGGAUUGUAAACUUCUUUGAUUGGGGAAGAAUAAAGUGACCUACCCAAAGAACAAGUCACGGCUAACUACGUGCCAGCAGCCGCGGUAAUACGUAGGUGACAAGCGUUAUCCGGAUUUACUGGGUGUAAAGGGCGUGUAGGCGGCUUUGCAAGUCAGAUGUGAAAUUCCCGGGCUUAACCUGGGCGCUGCAUCUGAAACUGCAAAACUUGAGUGCUGGAGGGGAAAGCGGAAUUCCUAGUGUAGCGGUAAAAUGCGCAGAUAUUAGGAGGAACACCGGUGGCGAAGGCGGCUUUCUGGACAGU
rnacentral:rRNA from 1 species